rnacentral:rRNA from 1 species
AGAGGAUCGUCAAGCGUUGUUUCGGAUUCAUUGGGCGUAAAGGGGUGCGUAGGGUGGCGUCGGUAAGUCAGGUGUGAAAUUUCGGGAGCUUAACUCCGAAACUGCAUUCGAUACUGCGGUGCUUGAGGACUGGAGAGGAGACUGGAAUUACGGUGUAGCGGUGAAAUGCGUAGAUAUCGUAAGGAAGACCAGUGGCGAAGGCGGGUCUCGUGGACAGUUCCUGACGCUGAGGCACGAAGGCCAGGGAGCAAACGGG